GGGUUUUGAUCAUGGUCAGGAUUGCACCAGCUGGCGUGAUUUUACACAUGCAAGUCGAACGGCAGCACGGACUUCGGUCUGGUGGCGAGUGGCGAACGGGUGAGUAAUGUAUCGUGGAACGCCUAGUAGCGUGGAUAACUACGCGAAAGCGCAGUAGCUAAUACCGCAUACGCCCUUUUCGGGGGAAAGCGGGACCUUCGGCCUCUGCACUAUUAGAGCACGUCAGAUGUCGACCAUUAGCCAGCGGGUAACGGCUCACUCAAGGCGACGAUCCGUAGCUGGUUUGAGAGGACGACCAGCCACACUGGGACUGGAGAUUACGGCCCAGACUCCUACAGGAGGCAGCAAUGGUGGAAUUGGGAUUAUCAGUGAACUCUGAUCCGUUACCCAUAGCAGAUGGAAGAACACAAAAGCACUUUUGGCAGGAAAGAAACGGCACGGGAUAAUACCCUGCGCAACCGACGGUACCUGCAAUGCACCACAAUCACGUGCCAGCAGCCGCGCGAGCUUAGGCAAAGCGCGGAAUCAAUUACUGGGCGUGAAGUGCGCAGGCGGUUCGGAAAGCAGCGACGUGAACCACAGAGCUGAACUUCGAACCGAAGGCCUUAACUACCGAGCUGAUGCGUCAGAGGGAGGUGAAUUCCGCGUGUAGCAGUGAAAUGCGUAGACAUGCGGAGGAACACCGAUGGCGAAGGCAGCCUCAACGGGGAGGAAGACUGAUCGGCUACCCAGAAAGCGUGGGGAGCAAACAGGACAGAUAUCCGGUGGUCCUUACACGCCCAACGAUGCCGCUCAGCUGCUGGGGCCUUCGGCCUUGCAGCGCAGCUAACGCGUGAAGGACUGCCUGGGGCAUCGAACAGAUUAAAAACUCGCGUGAAUGACGGGACCGCAACAAGCGGUGGAUGAUGCAUUAAUUCCGAUGCGAAACGCGCGAAACCACCACCUCGACAUCUGGAAUCCCGAAGAGAUUUUGCAGAGUGCUCGCAAGAGAACCGGAACACAGGUGCUGCAUGGCUGUCGUCAUCGUCGUAGAUGCUGUUGUCCCGCAACGAGUGCAGAACUCCGUCAUUAUUACGCCAGUGCGAAUCCGACGAGACUGCCGGCACAAACCGGAUAAAGGUGGAUGACGUCAAGUCCUCAUGGCCCUGGCGGUAGCUUCACACGUCAUACAAUGGUCGGCGAAGGAGGUCGCCAACCGGCGAGGGAGCCAAUCCCAGAAACCCGAUCAGAACCGAUCGGUAGCCUGCAACUCGACCGGUGGUGAAGUCGGAAUCGCUAGUAAUCGCGGAUCAGCAUGUCGCGGUGAAUACGGUUCCGGUCUGUUAAGACACCGCCCAGUCACACCACGGAGUGAGCCUUACCAGUUGCUGAGUCAACCGCAUAGGAGCAAGGAUUAUCGCCAGACCACAUCAAAGAAGCCGUAACAAGGCAG
rnacentral:rRNA from 1 species